UUUGUGUGCUUACAGCACAAGCAAAGAACACAGAGGUAGGUGCACAAAAAGCAAGCUUGAGUAGCUUGGGUUUCACCUCUUGUUUUCAGAACAUGCUUACCUAAAGUGGGGAACACUGUUGGCAAGGACUAGUGGCUUAUGCUUAGGGAAGACACUGGACAUCUGUUUUCAGAUAUCACAAAGCUAAGAGACAGUGCUGAAAUCUAGGAUGAGUCACAGCAUCACCGAGAUUGGAGAAGACCUCCAAGAUCAUCCAGUCCAGCCCUCCACCUACCACCAUUUCUCCCCCCUAAAACAUGUCUGCCUUCUUCUGCAGAGAAAGUUGGUAUUCUCUUGCCUGGUACAAAAAUCCUUAUCCCAGUCAUGAACAUGAGCUCUGUCAGAGGCCCUCUAAACCACAGCAGUCUGAAGGGAUAUUGUAUGGGAACUGUUGAGUCACGGCCUGAACCACUGAUUGAUCACUGGGGAGAGGACCCAGUCAGCCCUGGGAGCAUGGGUGAAGGCAAUUCCACUGUGUGACCAGAAGGGGUGGAGCCUGGCUGCAUCACUCUUAGACCCCAUUUAAGGGCUGACCCCCCUGGUUGGGGAUCCCUCCUUGUGGAGUUUUCUCUGUAAGCCUACCUACUCAGAGGUGGGUGAGCAUUCCUUUCCUGUUUGUCCCUUUUUCUAUUCUGCUCCUGCAUUUCCUUUCUACUGUGCUAAUCUUUCCAACUGUAACAGAUAUCAAAUAAAUAAAAACACAUUGGGAGAGAUUUCAGUAUUAGCUACAAAGUGAUAUGUCUUAUUUCCAGUCAUAAAGAGUUCUAGCAAGACUUCUGAUAAAGCAAAGACAUCUUUAAUGAUCUUGCUCUGUGCCA
ensembl:lncRNA